AUGGAGACAAGACUUAUGCCGGUUCUGGGACAAAGGUUGGGAAGUGUGCCCUUAUCCGGGAAAGUACAAGGGCUGCAUUUCCCACAGUUGAAGGGAAACAAAGAGGUGGCUCCCUCAAAAGGAUGGAUAAAUGAAAUGAUUUAUACUCGACUACAGAAAGAAUUGUUCACUUCUCCCAAUAUUAUUUUAACUAGGGAAAAGCAGAGGGUUUUGAUAAAGCAGGAAAAGACACUUGUUGGACAGUCCAGGUGAGUUGUGUGUUUGGUAAUGUGGUGUCAGUACCAAGGCAACUAUCACUGUGGUCUUAGGUGAUUUGGAUACUGAAGGAAGGACAAAGGAACCCAACAUUUACUUGUGGUUACAAACUUCCAGCUGCUCUCCAAGCGGGCACACAGGCCUCUCAGCGCAUGGUAGCCUCACAUCCUCAGAAUACAUCAUCCUGGGACCUCUUUGCAUUUCCUACGUUUAGACCAAACUUUUGCCUAAGGGUAGACUUGCAAUACUCCAUGACUUCAGUAAGGUUAGAAUAGGGGUGGGGGCAAUGAACUGUUCGAAAAACAGCAUCUGGAAGCAAAGUGUGUGUGGAAGGAAAGUUAGGCAUUAAAAACAAAAUAAAACUUGAACCACUUGGAAACUUUAUUCCGUGCCUCGCCCAUGUGGGGAAAACAGUCUCUGCUGCACAAAUUGUUUCCAGUAAAAUCGAAGUUCCCACCAUGGAAUAUUUGUAACAAUAAUAACUAAAGACUACCCUCUAGUGGUCAACUGGAAGAACUACAAAAACUGGCAAAGCACAGAAGGAACAGGGGGAAAGAAAUGACAUAAUCCAUAAAAAUGUUUAAUUUUCUCUAAUGUCAGAGCAAACAUUAUCCUACAUAGCAAAUGCACACAUAUAUUGCAAGUCUUCUUGUUCUAAACUGGUUGAAAAAUCUACAUGAGAUCACAGGUAGACCGAAGGCAUGUUCACAGUUGUAUUCUUUACAAUCGAACUGUAACAUCAGUACAGGGAUAUUUUUACCAAUGACAAGUUGGUGUAAAAUAUGAAAGCCUUAGAAAAUAUUAUAUAGAAUAAGUGAGUGUAAGAAUUUCGUUUUUCUUCGCCCUUCACCUCUUUCUCAACUAGCUACUCCAUGGGUGACUAAUAUACCUGGUAUACAGUUAAUUCAGAAUCAGAAGCACUAGGUAGCUUUCUGGCUGCUUGAGCUUAAAUGAUUAAUUUAACCCCUCUGACUGUUGCUAUUUUAAAAAAACAGGCAUGUUUUUGCUCUUCCAUGUUCCCUGGGUUUGGGGGAAAUAUACAAAAUACUUUAUAAAUACUGUGACACAAAUAUUAGUGUUGUACUCUUGACAUCUCUAGGUAAGAGACGAUGAUGAGGCUGGUAGAGCUGAUACUUGAGAGUGAAAACCUCCUGCCUCAGCCUCCCAAACAUGUGUAUUACAGGCAUGUGCCACCACAUCUGGCUUAUAUUUACAUUUUUUAAAGAGCCAUUUGCCCUCAAAUUGUUGUCUGAAACAUGAAUGUUUAAAGUGGGAUUUAUCCUCGGUGCAGCAAAAAAAGCUCAAUAUUUGUUCAAGUUUAAACACUGACUCAACACAGAAUUUAGAACGCUCCAACUGUCAUAUCUUUUGUGAAGUUUAUCACUCUAAAAAAAAUUCCAGAACACUGCCUAUAUUGUGCCAGUAGUCAGAAAGUAACAUUGACUAAUGGAUCUAAAAUUUUAAAUGGCUGUGGUUAGAUAAUAUAACUAAACCUC
rnacentral:lncRNA from 1 species